AUUGAACGCUGGCGGCAUGCCUUACACAUGCAAGUCGAACGGUAACGGGCCUUCGGGUGCCGACGAGUGGCGAACGGGUGAGUAAUGCAUUGGAACGUACCUUUCAGUGGGGGGUAACGUAGCGAAAGUUACGCCAAUACCGCAUAUUCUGUGAGCAGGAAAGCAGGGGAUCGCAAGACCUUGCGCUGAUUGAGCGGCCGGUGUCAGAUUAGAUAGUUGGGGAGGUAAAGGCUCACCAAGGCGACGAUCUGUAGCGGGUCUGAGAGGAUGAUCCGCCACACUGGAGCUGAGACACGGUCCAGACUCCUACGUGAGGCAGCAGUGGGGAAUUUUGGACAGUGGGGGCAACCCUGAUCCAGCCAUGCCGCGUGAGUGAAGAAGGCCUUCGGGUUGUAAAGCUCUUUCGGCCGGGAAGAAAUCGUAUGGGCUAAUACCCUGUGCGGAUGACGGUACCGGCAUAAGAAGCACCGGCUAACUACGUGCCAGCCGCCGCGGUAAUAC
rnacentral:rRNA from 1 species